GAUGAACGCUGGCGGCGUGCCUAAUACAUGCAAGUCGAGCGAAUGGAUUGAGAGCUUGCUCUUAUGAAGUUAGCGGCGGACGGGCGAGUAACACGUGGGUAACCUGCCCAUAAGACUGGGAUAACUCCGGGAAACCGGGGCUAAUACCGGAUAACAUUUUGAACCGCAUGGUUCGAAAUUGAAAGGCGGCUUCGGCUGUCCCUUAUGGAUGGACCCGCGUCGCAUUAGCUAGUUGGUGAGGUAACGGCUCACCAAGGCAACGAUGCGUAGCCGACCUGAGAGGGUGAUCGGCCACACUGGGACUGAGACACGGCCCAGACUCCUACGGGAGGCAGCAGUAGGGAAUCUUCCGCAAUGGACGAAAGUCUGACGGAGCAACGCCGCGUGAGUGAUGAAGGCUUUCGGGUCGUAAAACUCUGUUGUUAGGGAAGAACAAGUGCUAGUUGAAUAAGCUGGCACCUUGACGGUACCUAACCAGAAAGCCACGGCUAACUACGUGCCAGCAGCCGCCGUAA
rnacentral:rRNA from 1 species